AUGUCAGUUCAGGACCCAUCCCCCAUGCCCCUCCCCGCCGCGGCGCGACCCAAGCGCACGUCCUCCGCGCCGAUCCGGCCCUCCGACUACGCGCACAGCCCGGCGCACCACUGCGUCGCGCUGCGGGACGCCGCCGGCCUCUCCGCCAUCCUCGCCGGCCUCCCGCCCCUCGCCCACCCCUCCCGCAUCCUCUCCGCCGCCGACGCCGCGCGCGAGGCCCGCCUCUCGGCCUCCGUCUCCGCCGCGCUCGACCGCCGCGACGUGCCAGGUGGGGACACCGCGCUCCACCUCGCCGUGCGCCUCAGGCUCCCCUCCCUCGCCUCCGCGCUCGCCGCCGCCGGCGCCGACCCCACGCUCCAGAACCACGCCGGGUGGACGCCGCUCCAGGAGGCGCUCUGCCUGGGGUGCAAGGACAUCGCGGCCCUCCUCCUCCGCGCCCACCGGCUGGCGGCCUGGGCCAAGCUCCGCCGCCGGGCGCCCGCGCUCUCCGCCGCGCUGCGCCGGGUCCAGGACUUCUACCUCGAGGUGGAUUUCCACUUCGAGAGCUCCGUCGUGCCGCUCCUCUCGCGAGCCGCGCCGUCGGACACUUACCGGAUAUGGAAGUGCGGCGCCAACCUGCGUGCGGACACCACCCUCGCCGGCUUCGACGGCCUCCGCAUUCGGCGGGCUGACCACUCUUUCCUCUUUUUCGGGGAGGAGACUGAGGCCGGCGGCCGCCGCCUCCCCCCGGGAUCGCUCCUUGUGCUCCACCGCGGCAAGCGCGAGGUGCAUGACGCGUUCGCCGCCGCCGCCGCCGCCGGGGACGAGGAUGCGGCCACCUCCGACGCGGCCGCCUACCGGCCGGGGCUCAACAUCACCUCCGCGAGGCUCGUUCCGAGGACCACGUGGCUGCGCAAGGAGAAGACGGAGAGCGUUGGGGAGUGGAAGGCGCGGGUGUUCGACGUCCACAACGUCGUCUUCUCCUUCCGCACGCUCAAGGCAGCCAGCACCGGUCGCAAGGAUUUGACCUUCGAGCUUGCCGGAGAAGACGACGAGGAGUUCUUGCCGCUGGAGAUCCGGGAUGACGACGAGGACGGCGAUUUCUUAGUCGCCGACAUCCCCCCGCCCCCGCCACGGCGCAGCUGCUACGUGCCUGGCCGGCGCAGCGUGGCAGGACCACCCUCGCAUAUGGGGACGCCGCAGAGGAGGAGGAACAGCGUGGACGUGCCGCGACGGCUGCCAACCUGUGCAUCGGUGGGCCGCGGCGAGGAUGGCGUGUUCAGCCGGAACGCGACGACCGGGGGAGCCAAGUGGAAGGAGGAGGAGACGGUGAAGACACUGCGGCCCACCGUGUGGCUCACAGAGGACUUCCCGCUGAGCGUCGACGAGUUCUUGCCCCUGCUGGACAUCUUGGCUACCCGUGUGCGCGCCGUCCGCCGCCUCCGUGAGCUGCUCACCACCAAGUUCCCGACUGGGACAUUCCCUGUGAAGGUUGCGAUCCCUGUUGUUCCGACUGUGAGGGUAGUCAUCACCUUCAACAAGUUUGUUCCCCUGGUAGAGCCAGAGGAGUUCUUCACGCCGAUGUCGAGCCCCAGCCUGCUGGCGAGCCCAGGUCCGGGGUCCAUCAUGCCUAAGCCAGACACCCACAAGAGCUCGUAUCUGAGGUGGACAUCCAAGAACUCGAGAGCAAAGCCAGUGAACCUGUCGCAGGUCGCGGACAACACCGACCCCUUCACCAUCCCCAGCGACUACACCUGGGUAAACCUGGGUUCCACCAAGACCCAGGACAAGAAGUCAUCCAAGACCAGUAAAAAGGGCAAGAGCAAAGAGACCUGA
rnacentral:rRNA from 1 species